rnacentral:lncRNA from 1 species
UCAACUGCAGUACCACCAGCAACAAUAUCUGCAGGACCAUCAGCAGCGCAUCAAGAUUUCCUGCGAUAUUGCUCCCAGCACCCAGGUCCGAUAUCUCAAAGAGCUUUCUACCGGUGGUGUCAAUAUAGGGGAGAUGAUCCCUCCUUUAGAUGGAGGAGACAAGCCCCAUAUGACACCACUGGUAGAAGCGGUGCUACUAAUUAGUGGUGUUGCUAGCCAAGCGGUGUUACUAAUUAGUGGUGUUACUUGGCACUUAAUGCCAAGCGGUGUUACUAAAUUGUGGUGUUACUUGGCAGCGUUUAGUGCCAAGCGGUGUUACAAGUGUUGAGCUAGGUUGUGUUGUCUAGCUUUU